rnacentral:rRNA from 1 species
UACGUAGGGUGCGAGCGUUAAUCGGAAUUACUGGGCGUAAAGCGUGCGCAGGCGGUUUUGUAAGGCAGAUGUGAAAUCCCCGGGCUUAACCUGGGAAUGGCAUUUGGGACUGCAAGGCUCGAGUGCGGCAGAGGAGACUGGAAUUCCUGGUGUAGCAGUGAAAUGCGUAGAUAUCAGGAGGAACACCGAUGGCGGAGGCAGGUCUCUGGGCUGACACUGACGCUCAUGCACGAAAGCGUGGGGAGCAAACAGG